rnacentral:rRNA from 1 species
AGCGAACGCUGGCGGCAGGCCUAACUCAUGCAAGUCGAACGAAGUCUUCGGACUUAGUGGCGGACGGGUGAGUAACACGUGGGAACGUACCUUUUGGUUCGGAACAACUCAGGGAAACUUGAGCUAAUACCGAAUGUGCCCUUAGGGGGAAAGAUUUAUCGCCAUUAGAGCGGCCCGCGUUAGAUUAGCUAGUUGGUGAGGUAAAGGCUCACCAAGGCUACGAUCUAUAGCUGGUCUGAGAGGAUGAUCAGCCACACUGGGACUGAGACACGGCCCAGAAUCCUACGGGAGGCAGCAGUGGGGAAUCUUGCGAAAUGGGCGAAAGCCUGACGCAGCCAUGCCGCGUGAAUGAUGAAGGUCUUAGGAUUGUAAAAUUCUUUUAGCAGGGACGAUAAUGACGGUACCUGCUGAAAAAGCCCCGGCUAACUUCGUGCCAGCCGCCGCCGUAA